GGUUGUCCCCAUGGUCCUUCCAGCCAGUAUUCACUCUGUUUCUCCUGCUACAAUGUCACAUAUGUAUAAUCUACCAUGGAAAAGUUUCCGUACCAGUCCCUAAGUCCAUUUGACUCUUCUAAGCAACGGACUGAUAUUCGGUGGAACGGCCACAGGUUUUCAGCCCAUUUUCUUACUGUAGAUUUGACAUCGUCUGACUUUACUAUUACUUGGUGUUUAGCUUGAUAAUAGGUGAUUAAAAGUUCAAUUACUUCUUUUUUUUUAAAGAUUUAUUUAUUAUAGAUGAGUACACUGUAGCUGUCUUCAGACACACCAGAAGAGGGCGUCGGAUCUCAUUACAGACCGUUGUGAGCCACCAUGUGGUUGCUGGGAUUUGAACUCAGGACCUCUGGAAGAGCAGUCAGCGCUCUUAACCACUGAGCCAUCUCUCCAGUGGGGCAAGUGCUUUUAACCUGCUGGGCUGCCUUGCCUGCCCUCCUCUCAGCUUCGCUCAGGCGAAGACAGGGUUGCUCAUGAAAAGACUAGAGACGAAGAUGAAAUGGCCACGCGCAUCUCUCCUGCGGGCAUCGGGUCCCCACUCCUGGGAACACUGGGUUCUAUGAUAGCUUAAGCCGGGCUUGCUUCCUACAGAAAAUAAAUCUGUUAAAACAAACAGACAAACAAACAGACCCUGAACUAGGAAAGUCCUCUCCAUGUAGCACAUGGUAAAGGCAGCCAUUACGCUAAGCCAAAAAAAAAAAAAAAAAAAAAAAAAAAUCACACCAAGAAGUUUCCAGACCCAGUGAAGCACCACACCCAGCCCCAGGGCGACAGGGAGGAGCCUUCCCAGUUGAGGCUCUAAGGGAGCCUGGGCAGCCCGAGGCCCUUCCCUGCUGGCCACUGAGCUGGAUCAGGGCCCUGGAGCAGCUGAUACCUGAGGCUGCCAACUGCUGUGAGCAGCUGGGGUUUUUUAAACAAGUCAGUGCUUCCUUGUUCUGAAGCUGCAAGCUUUCGUGUUCUGUGAGGAACUUCUGAGUCUUUAUACCACUGCCCUCGA
rnacentral:lncRNA from 1 species